UUUUCUAUUAUGUACAUACUUUUUUUUAAAAUUGCAUAUUUAAUUAAUGAUUACAAGUUUGACAUGUUUGUUUAUGAUGUUACGGGUGGUAUUCAAAUAAUUGACAGUGAAGUGUUAUUUUAUAAAACUACGGAGGCAUUUUCUAAUGAUAUACCAGCAAUACUGCAAGUGUUAACAGAGUAUAAUUUUGACAUAUACGAACAUACAGUAUCAUCAGUUGAUUUAAUAAACGAAAUAGCUCUUUUAUCGGCAUAUUUUGUAGAGUUGACAUCUUCUUAUAAACAUAUAGGUAAGGCAUAUGUGGAGGAAACAGAAAAUGAUGAAAUUACACGUAUAUACUCAUCACCUUUGGCUGACAUUAGAUAUUUUGUUUAUAUAAACGCGGAUGAUUAUAAUAAGGAUGACAAAAUUAUUGAAAAGUUACAGAAAGAAUUAACGAAUCUAAACACUCUUGUGAUAAUUAAAAAAAAUUUAUGUUGUUCUAAUUUUGUAGACGUUUUGUCAAAAUCGUUAGAAUAUUAUAUCGCAUAUAAAUAUUUAUCUCAAAUAAACAAUACUACUGAAACAGAGCAUAGUACUCUAAACACAUCAGGUUUAGAAACUACAACACCUAUAAAUCAUCAACCAGAUAUAGCCACUGCAAAAAAUAUAAUAGACAUAUGGCUAUAUCAUGCACAUUCGGAUAUACACAUAAAUCCUAUUCAAGAUACAAACAAGUCAAUAUAUUGGGCUAAACAAAUUAUGAAUAACGCACAAUAUUAUUACAAAGAGGAGAUAACUGCUGAGGAUAAACCAGCAUGUAUUAACUUAGAUAUGAUCGAUCAUUAUGAUAAUGUGGUAAUAAGUUUUGCAACAAAAAUGGACACACAUGGUGCUGCUGUUUAUAUUAAACUGGAUACAGAUUUAAUCAAAAAGAAUGUAGAAACAUUGGAUACUGAUAUAUAUUUAGUAUACUUUUUAUUCAGAAAUUUAUCAGUGCCAUUUAUUGGAAAAACAUAUGGUGAAGAAGCAUUAUUUAAUAAACGAAUAAUAUUGGUAAAAGGUAGUGUAUAUUCUACUGAUAGCACUAAUAGUUCGAAAAUUGUAUAUACAAGUUAUUUAGACAGUAUUAAUGAAAAUGCGCUUUAUAUGUUAGAGAAAGUAAUAAUUGUCACAAAUACUGCAGAUAAGACAGAAAAAGAAUUCAACGUAGAAUAUCAGACAUUUUUUGUACAUCCUCAUGCAAUGUUUAAUGAAGAGUCAAAUACAUAUGGGAAAAUAUUUAUGAAUGAACAAUAUUAUGAUAAAGAGACAAAAUGUGCACAUUAUCACAACGGAGUACAAUCUUGUGAUAUAGAGUCAUAUAAUGAUUCUAAUAUAAUACCAGUAUAUGUAUCUUAUUUAGAAAAUACUCAAAGAAAAGAUAUUGUUUUUGAAAACAAGGAUAAUUACGUUGUAUCGGAUCUGGUUCAUAAUGAAGCAAAGGCAUUAACUGAACGAUAUAAUAUAAUAUUAGAAGGAUCAAAGAUGUCAGCAGGUGUAUAUAAUAUUAUAAGAGCAAUAGUAUACGAAAUUACGAGUUUAAUGGGAAUAACAAAGUUUGGAAAUAAUAUGUGUAAUAAAUUAGUUCUAAAUAAUGGUAUAUUACACAUGGAGGACAUAGAUACUUCUACUUUGAUUUCAAUUAUUACAGACGAAACAACAGGUUGUAUUAAUAUAAGCGCGAUAUAUAAUAAAAUAUUAGAUAUGUGUGAAUUUACGAAUGAUAAAUUAAAACUAUUAUUUGGUGGUUCAAAGAGUAACUUGUUACCCUUUUAUUUGAAUGAAGAUUUUGCGAAUGAUUUAGCAUCGAAUGAGUUGCGAAAUUUGAUUAAAUUUUUUGUCUCGAUACCUCAUAAUUUCAUGAAAACAUUCAAAUUAUUAGAAGGACAUGCGCAGCUAUCUAAAUUAGUACAAGCAGAUGUACCAGAUGAUAAUGCAAUUAUAAUAAUAAAGGUAAAAGAUAAUGUCAUAUUCAAAAUAAGCAAAACGAUACUACAAGAUGGGUAUGAUAUUGAAGAUUUUAUUGUCGCUUUGUGUCAAGCAAUUAGUAAAAUCGAAAAACCAUCGAAUUAUGUUCAGUAUUGUGACGAAAAUAAUAAAGAAUAUCUUAUCAGUAAAAACACAUGUGAUAGUUAUGAUACAAACUUAGGAUUACUACCACCAUGGGAUGAUGCAUUAAUAAAUAACAUAUCAGAGUUCAUAUACACGCCUGACGCGAUAUAUAUGAAAAAAACACCAAAUGAUCAAUAUGCCAUUAACAAUUUAUAUAUAUAUGAACUUAAAGAUAAUGCAAAUGAAAAGUUUUUAAAAGCGACAUUAAUAUUAUCAGAUGAUAAAGUACCAAAUAUAAACAACAUAGUUUAUGUUGUAUUAAUAGCAAAGUCGUUUGAUAAUAAGAGUCAACUAGCAUUAUUUUGUUAUCCAGAAAUGAAUUAUCAAUUACCAUUGUUUUUUAAAGAAUACAAUUUAGAAGAAGGGACAACAUACUUUAAUUGUAAAAGUGAACAAGUGAAAAAAUUCAAAAAUGGAUUGUAUGAAUUUAAUAAGUAUUACAUAUUGUAUGGCAAUAACAUAGGUACAAGUAACUAUAUAUAUGGCAGUAUGCCAAUAAGACCAUUAUACGAAGUACAUAAUGAUAAUGUGAUAGUACCAGAUGUAGAUUGUGAAAAUAUAACAGUAAAUAUAUCAAAAAAUGAUGAAGGCGAUUCAAGUUUUAAGUAUUUGAUAAAAUUUACUGGUUUGUCUAUGAAUAUAAACCCAUCUAUAACAAUAAGUACUAUUGUUGAGUCAAAUAAUCAUAGAGAUAUUAUCGGUACGUUUCAUAUCAAUGACAGUUUAAUUGAUGGUCAACAUGCAAGGGACUUACGAUCAUUAGAGUAUAGAGAUAUAUCGUUUGUAAACAAUAUAUAUAAAACUAUAUUGAAUAUAUCUAAAAAUGUAAUAGAAAUGAACAUGUUACAUGAGGACGAGUAUUAUUUUACGUUAAACAAGACAGUUGAAUUAGUGGGCAUCGAACUAUUGGAUAGCAAUAAUAACAAAAUUGUGUUAUCGAUUGAAAGCCAUGAUAAUAAAGUGAUAUGUAAAAAUAAUGAAAUUAUGGAUUUAGGAGUGGAAGUUGGUGAACUAAAAGAUAAUACAGGAUCUAAUACAGUGGAGAAAACUGAUGAUGUAACAAAAAUUACUAAUCCUGACGGCGUUGGUGAAACAGACAACGAUAGUGAUGGUGCGGCUGAAGUUAAAGAAGAAAAUAAUAAAGUUAUUGAAGAUGAAGUAGAAUUUGAUAAUGAUGUUGAAGCAUAUGUUGAAGCAUAUGAUGAAGCACAUGAUGAAGCAUAUUAUGAAGAAUAAGUUUACAUCUUGGAUUAGGAUGAAUUCGAUAUUUAGUUACCAAAUUUUAUAAAUGAAAAUGGUACAAACAAACUAUUUACAUGAAUGAAAGCAUUAUAUUAAUUUGUUUAAAAUGUGUCAAAAUUGUUUAUUUUAUUUCUUAUAUUUUGCAUUUUGCGCUUUUUUCUUUGCAUUUUUCUUUUGCAU
ensembl:lncRNA